rnacentral:rRNA from 1 species
GACGAACGCUGGCGGCGUGCUUAACACAUGCAAGUCGAACGGUAAGGCCCUUCGGGGUACACGAGUGGCGAACGGGUGAGUAACACGUGGGUGAUCUGCCCUGCACUUCGGGAUAAGCCUGGGAAACUGGGUCUAAUACCGGAUAGGACCACUGCCUGCAUGGGUGGUGGUGGAAAGCUUUUGCGGUGUGGGAUGGGCCCGCGGCCUAUCAGCUUGUUGGUGGGGUGAUGGCCUACCAAGGCGACGACGGGUAGCCGGCCUGAGAGGGUGACCGGCCAGACUGGGACGGAGAUACGGCCCAGACUCCUACGGGGGGCAGCAGUGGGGAAUAUUGCACAAUGGGCGCAAGCCUGAUGCAGCGACGCCGCGUGAGGGAUGACGGCCUUCGGGUUGUAAACCUCUUUCAGCACCGACGAAGCACAAGUGACGGUAGGUGAAGAAGAAGGACCGGCCAACUACGUGCCAGCCGCCGCCGUAA